rnacentral:rRNA from 1 species
CACGUAGGGCGCAAGCGUUGUCCGGAAUUAUUGGGCGUAAAGAGCGUGUAGGCGGCCAGAUAGGUCUGCUGUGAAAACUCGAGGCUCAACCUCGAGAUGUCGGCGGAAACCAUUUGGCUAGAGUCCGGAAGAGGGAAGUGGAAUUCCUGGUGUAGCGGUGAAAUGCGCAGAUAUCAGGAAGAACACCCGUGGCGAAGGCGGCUUUCUGGGACGGUACUGACGCUGAGACGCGAAAGCGUGGGGAGCGAACAGG